AUGAGGAGCGAGGUGCAACACUUUCCUCUUCCUGCUCUCCUCCCUCUCUCCAGGCGCUUUUUGAUUUCUCCUCUCACCUCCUCUUUUUCUCUCCCUCUUUCAUAUCCCAGAGUGCUUCUUUUCUUCUGUUCGUCUCUUCCGAUCGCGAGUUCUCCUCAAGGCACCCAGCUCCUGACUCCUAAUUGGUGGAAAUGCUAGCAGCAUCUGGUUCUGCUGAGCGUCUUUGACGACGACGGCAGUUAUCCAGCCGUUUGACAGCUGGUUGCCAUAACGUCAUCACCUUGGCGACAGACUGGACUCUGGCGCUGUUCUGGAGUACCUGCCACUCAGCAUUACCAGCCACCCUCACAGAAGAGACAGGGCAUUUCAUGCAUCCAAGAAAUGAGGCAGUUUCAGAGUCAAAUUUGAUAAUAAGCUUAUUUCAGCCCCCACCACAACACACCACAGCAAACAGCCCUUCCAGCUCUCCAUGACUAACCCAAGCCUGUGGGAAAGGGACUAAUAUUUUAGUGGAUGAAUUAUAUGGCCUGUUAACUUUAAAAGAUUCUGUCGACAGUGCAUGGUGUCAGUAUGCCAUUUUGUAUAAUGCCAUUUCAUUUCUCUACUUUUCAUUGUAGAAUUCCAGCUUUACUAACGAUAGGGAAAGCAGAGACCUUGUUGGCCUUGAAAAGGGAACGGAGGAGAAUUAAGUCUUUGGGAAUUCUCUCUUUUUCCCUUGUCUCUUUUUCAAACCCCUACACUCUAGUCCUCUCCUCUUGCCUCCGCUCUCUUCAUUCCCCUGUGGCCACAUCCAUGGUAUUCCAGAAAUACUCAGGCUCAGAGCUCGUUUGUGUCGGCCUUUAGUGCAAGAUACUUGUGCAAAUCCUGCAACUGAUACAGUCAUUGUUAUCUGCCAACGAUUACUGUAUUUGAUGCUCGUGUGCACUGUUGAACUGCUGAAUUAGUUGUUGAGACAAUGGAAUUACAAGAAACAUUUAUGUCUGUGAGGAAAACAAGCCGACUGUCUUGGUUAGUGAUGGUGCGACAUGUUAGUGAAAUUGCAUGACAUCAGUGUCAUUUAUGGGUAUUAAUUAGAUUUUCCUGCAUUUUUCAAAAUGUGUUAAAGGCAAAAUUUCCAAUGGUCAUGAAGAGUGAAGAGUACAUGUGACACCACUUGCCUCAAGGUGAACAUUCAGUUGAUCAACACAAUACUUGAGCAGAUCAUGAUUUGAAAAUUAAACAAAAUAAAAUUCAGCUACAUGGUCUUAUUACUCCUAAACCUCAGAUGAUUAAUUAUUGAUGGACACAGAUUUACGCUGGGAUUGUCAGGAGUUAAACAAACAACACAUUAGAAAAACUUCAUAGGAUAAAAUAAACAUGUGUCUUGACUCCUGCAAGAUGGCACUCGGUUCCACACAUCACAUCAUAUUUGCUGCUAUUUCAUAUCCACGCAUGAGCAAACACAGUGGUGGCCAUACAGGAGAGGAGGCGGCAGAGGAGCAAACAGCAUGAGGGCACCGUGUUCAAACUGUGGUGACCAGUGGCUCCUGCCUGUCCGUGGCCUCGCAGCCUUGCCUCUGCCCCAGUGGCUCAAUGCAGGUAUUCACAAACGGGAUUCCAGUGGCCACCGAAACAUCUAAACCAAACGGACACAGUGACUCUUCUAGGUAAAUAGCAGGUCGUGCCAAAAUCCAAACCGUAUAGCCUCUUUUUUCUCUCUAAGUAUCUCUGUCUCAGUUUGUGGUGCUCUCUGGCUUUGUUUCCCUGUGCAGCCUUCGCCAGCCUAAAAAUGAAAAUGAGCAUGUUGUUUAACAGACCUCACAUCUUGGAAUUGAAAGCUCCCAGUCAGUAAUAAAUGUAAAUGCUGUGUUGGCACUAUUUUCUUUUGAGAAAAGGAACUAAUGAUGAUUUGGGGGGAGGUUUACUUCAAAUCUACGUUUAUAAAAAGAUUAAUCGAAUGACAUUACACAGUAAAAAAAAAGAACAAACAUGUUAAGCAAUAGAGAGUAAUUUCCCCUCCUUUAUUGUUGAAUUGUGUAAUUAUUGUUCUACAUUUAGUGUCUCACCUAAGCUGUUGUGGAAGCUGGAGGAGACUUGAUGAUUUGGCAUACUCUUGGCAGAAACAAAAGGCAAACAUUGGGCUUCAGAAGAGGCAGACAGCUCAUGAGAGAACAAACCACACCACAGAGAGAGAAAUCAAACCUAAGCACAGCCUUCUGAAACCAGACAGCCCUAUCUCCCUGCACGCCUUUGGCUCAGAUUGUUUCUACUUAUUGUUUCCUUGGCUGUUUGACUGAUUGGUUCAUUGGUUACAAGCCAGACUGGGAGCGACACGAUCUGAAAUGACAUGAUUCACGGUUUCAAGGAGUCAUUGUCAGCACUCGCAAGUUGGUUUUAAUGCUGUUCUGGUGUGUAUUUAUUAAUCGUUGUUGCAUAGUUAAUUUAUAUACAGUAAGUAGGCAUGUGAAUUCCCAGGCGGGCAUUAUUUACGUUACAACCUAGCUUGAUUUAUCAUCUGUGAAGUGCAUGGCAUUACUAGUUUGCAUAUCAGCAUCUACGUGUCAGACUCAAGUUCUCUGUCAGUGAUGUAAGUGUGACUGUGAUUCAGUCAGUCACACAUAGAAAAAUAAAAUACUUACCUCAU